rnacentral:rRNA from 1 species
GAUGAACGCUGGCGGCGUGCCUAAUACAUGCAAGUCGAGCGAACAGACGAGGAGCUUGCUCCUCUGACGUUAGCGGCGGACGGGUGAGUAACACGUGGAUAACCUACCUAUAAGACUGGGAUAACUUCGGGAAACCGGAGCUAAUACCGGAUAAUAUAUUGAACCGCAUGGUUCAAUAGUGAAAGACGGUUUUGCUGUCACUUAUAGAUGGAUCCGCGCCGCAUUAGCUAGUUGGUAAGGUAACGGCUUACCAAGGCGACGAUGCGUAGCCGACCUGAGAGGGUGAUCGGCAACACUGGAACUGAGACACGGUCCAGACUCCUACGGGAGGCAGAAGUAGGGAAUCUUCCGAAAUGGGCGAAAGCCUGAAGGAGCAACGCCGCGUGAGUGAUGAAGGUCUUCGGAUCGUAAAACUCUGUUAUUAGGGAAGAACAAAUGUGUAAGUAACUAUGCACGUCUUGACGGUACCUAAUCAGAAAGCCACGGCUAACUACGUG